rnacentral:lncRNA from 1 species
AUGUGUUUGUGUGUGUGUGUUUUCUUUUGUUAUGGCAGGGUGAGCAAGGAGAACUGGGGGAAACAGGUUACCCAGGAGACCCUGGUCUUCCAGGCCCACAGGCUGUGAUGACAUCAUUGUGAAAAUCAUAUGGGCCCAAGAGGACCACAAGGGAUCAGAGGACCUCCAGGACCACAAGGCAUUCCAGGCUCUCGGGCUAGUCUGGGUCCCCCAGGUCCACCUGGUUCAAGUGGAAAGCCUGGUGCAAGAGGAGUAAAGGUAAACAUUUUCAAAGUGUGUGAUCACAGCAAUCAU